CCUUAUAGUGGGGGAUAACUAGUCGAAAGAUUAGCUAAUACCGCAUAACAAGUUAACUAUCGCAUGAGAAUAACUUUAAAGAAGCAACUGCUUCGCUAUAAGAUGAGGGUGCGGCAUAUCAGCUAGUUGGUGAGGGUAAUGGCCCACCAAGGCGAUGACGUGUAGUUAUGCUGAGAGGUAGAAUAACCACAAUGGGACUGAGACACGGCCCAUACUCCUACGGGAGGCAGCAGUAGGGAAUUUUUCACAAUGGACGAAAGUCUGAUGGAGCAAUGCCGCGUGAACGAUGAAGGUCUUUUUAGAUUGUAAAGUUCUUUUAUUUGGGAAGAACAGUUAAUAGAGUGG
rnacentral:rRNA from 1 species